rnacentral:rRNA from 1 species
CCUACGGGCGGCUGCAGUGGGGAAUAUUGCACAAUGGGCGCAAGCCUGAUGCAGCCAUGCCGCGUGUAUGAAGAAGGCCUUAGGGUUGUAAAGUACUUUCAGCGGGGAGGAAGGUGAUAAGGUUAAUACCCUUAUCAAUUGACGUUACCCGCAGAAGAAGCACCGGCUAACUCCGUGCCAGCAGCCGCGGUAAUACGGAGGGUGCAAGCGUUAAUCGGAAUUACUGGGCGUAAAGCGCACGCAGGCGGUCAAUUAAGUCAGAUGUGAAAGCCCCGAGCUUAACUUGGGAAUUGCAUCUGAAACUGGUUGGCUAGAGUCUUGUAGAGGGGGGUAGAAUUCCAUGUGUAGCGGUGAAAUGCGUAGAGAUGUGGAGGAAUACCGGUGGCGAAGGCGGCCCCCUGGACAAAGACUGACGCUCAGGUGCGAAAGCGUGGGGAGCAAACAGGAUUAGAUACCCCAGUAGUC